rnacentral:rRNA from 1 species
UGCGUAGGCGGAAUAUUAAGUCAGUGGUGAAAUCCCAGAGCUCAACUCUGGAACUGCCAUUGUAACUGGUAUUCUUGAAUAUAGUUGAGGUAGGCGGAAUGUGUAAUGUAGCGGUGAAAUGCUUAGAUAUUACACAGAACACCGAUUGCGAAGGCAGCUUACUAAACUAUGAUUGACGCUGAUGCACGAAAGCGUGGGGAGCGAACAGGAUUAGAUACCCUGGUAGUCC